AUGGACAACAAAGGCAUAAACCCACUUGAUGUUAGCAUAACGGCUCCAGAUUAUGUGACGUUGGCACAAGAUACAGUUCAUGUUGAAGCAAACGAUCACAAUGAGACACAGGUGAGCGUUUCUGUCAGCGAAACCAUGAAUGACAUGUUGAUGGUUCUCAAAGUCACAGAAGAAAAAACCUGCAGAAUCAAUCUUGAUACCGCAGUCACAAGGAACACCUUCCGAAUAAUACCGAGCGGAGGGUGCGUAAGCAAGAUGGUGGGCCAGCAUAACAGAAGCUUGAUGCACUGGAGCUACCGGUGGGACGACAACUCGAGAGACCUGGGAUGGUAA
rnacentral:rRNA from 1 species